CAGGACGAACGCUGGCGGCGCGCCUAACACAUGCAAGUCGAACGGAGCUGCACUUCUGAAGUUUCGGAUGGACGAGGUACAAGCUUAGUGGCGAACGGGUGAGUAACACGUGAAGAACCUGCCCUUCAUGGGGGACAACAGUUGGAAACGACUGCUAAUACCGCAUAAGACCACAGUACCGCAUGGUACAGUGAUCAAAGGAUUUAUUCGCUGAAGGAUGGCUUCGCGUCCGAUUAGGUAGUUGGUGAGGUAACGGCCCACCAAGCCUACGAUCGGUAGCCGGACUGAGAGGUUGAUCGGCCACAUUGGGACUGAGACACGGCCCAGACUCCUACGGGAGGCAGCAGUGGGGAAUAUUGCACAAUGGAGGAAACUCUGAUGCAGCGACGCCGCGUGAGGGAAGAAGGUCUUCGGAUUGUAAACCUCUGUCUUCAGGGACGAUAAUGACGGUACCUGAGGAGGAAGCACCGGCUAACUACGUGCCAGCCGCAGC
rnacentral:rRNA from 1 species